rnacentral:rRNA from 1 species
GAGGGGAAACGACAUCGAAAGCUUGCUUUUGAUGGGCGUCGACCGGCGCACGGGUGAGUAACGCGUAUCCAACCUGCCCAUCACUUGGGAAUAACCUUGCGAAAGUAAGACUAAUGCCCAAUGAUAUCCCACGAAGGCAUCCGAAUGGGAUUAAAGAUUUAUCGGUGAUGGAUGGGGAUGCGUCUGAUUAGCUUGUUGGCGGGGUAACGGCCCACCAAGGCAACGAUCACUAGGGGUUCUGAGAGGAAGGUCCCCCACUUUGCAACUGAGACACGGUCCAAACUCCUACGGGAGGCAGCAGUGAGGAAUAUUGGUCAAUGGGCGAGAGCCUGAACCAGNNNNNNNNCGUGCAGGAUGACGGCCCUAUGGGUU